rnacentral:rRNA from 1 species
AGUGAACGCUGGCGGUAGGCCUAACACAUGCAAGUCGAACGGCAGCACAGUAAGGGCUUGCUCUUACGGGUGGCGAGUGGCGGACGGGUGAGGAAUACAUCGGAAUCUACUUUUUCGUGGGGGAUAACGUAGGGAAACUUACGCUAAUACCGCAUACGACCUACGGGUGAAAGCAGGGGAUCUUCGGACCUUGCGCGAUUGAAUGAGCCGAUGUCGGAUUAGCUAGUUGGCGGGGUAAAGGCCCACCAAGGCGACGAUCCGUAGCUGGUCUGAGAGGAUGAUCAGCCACACUGGAACGGAGACACGGUCCAGACGCCUACGGGAGGCAGCAGUGGGGAAUAUUGGACAAUGGGCGCAAGCCUGAUCCAGCCAUACCGCGUGGGUGAAGAAGGCCUUCGGGUUGUAAAGCCCUUUUGUUGGGAAAGAAAAGCAGCAGGUUAAUACCCCGCUGUUCUGACGGUACCCAAAGAAUAAGCACCGGCUAACUUCGUG